GAUGAACGCUGGCGGCGUGCCUAAUACAUGCAAGUCGAACGCAUCCUUCGGGGUGAGUGGCAGACGGGUGAGUAACGCGUGGGAACGUGCCCUUCAGUUCGGGAUAACCCAGGGAAACUUGGGCUAAUACCGGAUACGUGCGAGAGCAGAAAGAUGUAUCGCUGAAGGAUCGGCCCGCGUCUGAUUAGCUAGUUGGUGGGGUAAUGGCCCACCAAGGCGACGAUCAGUAGCUGGUCUGAGAGGAUGAUCAGCCACAUUGGGACUGAGACACGGCCCAAACUCCUACGGGAGGCAGCAGUGGGGAGUAUUGGACAAUGGGCGCAAGCCUGAUCCAGCCAUGCCGCGUGAGUGAUGAAGGCCUUAGGGUUGUAAAGCUCUUUCGUCCGGGACGAUUAUGACGGUACCGGAAGAAGAAGCCCCGGCUAACUUCGUGCCAGCCGCCGCUGUAA
rnacentral:rRNA from 1 species